rnacentral:lncRNA from 1 species
GGGAUGUCAGGGCCCAGCCCCCUCGCCCCAGUCAGUGACAAUUCUGAAGAGCCAGUGUGGUCCGGGACUCUUUAUGAGACCAGCGGAGACCUUUGUAAGGACCAGAGUCAACGUCUACCUCUACCAGCCCUGCUGCCUUUUCCUCGCUUGUACAGGUGUUGAUUAUGAGAGCCAUUCCCAGUAAAGACCUUGCACACUGAUCUCUAGUGCAAACCCAGUCUGGAACAGCAAUACUAACAGUACCAGCCAUGAUAAGAGCAGCAAUCAUUUAUUGAGGACUUACCAUAGGUCAUGUAAAAUGCCAGGUCUUGUACAAACAUUAUCCUGCUUUCUCAUCAACACUGUCCUAGAAGGUAGGAAUUCUCAUUUUGUUUUACACUCGCGCAGUAGCUUUAUGAACUUAAGAGAAAACAAAAUGUGUAAACCUGCUUUGAAUCCAAAGUGGUAUUACUUCUAUUUAUAAAUUUCAACCAAAAAGGAGUGUGUUAAGGCUCUACAGUGGGCCUCUCCAGAUGAAAGCCUUCUAACUGGUUCUCAGUGAGAGAAAAUGAUACAUCUCCUCUCUCAUCCUCUGUCACCUGCCCCAUUCACCCAACUCAAAGGAAACCCAGGAGGCCUCUUUGGCCCUAUCCUCCUAGUGGCUCUUUAAACCUGCUAGUGGGUUGUGAUACCACUACCUCUUUUUUUAUAAAUGUGCCUGGCACCUAGUUCUGGUGUGGUUUGACUUUUUCAAAACCUGGAAAAUACCUUUGCACAGGAAGGAAAACAGAUCCUACUCUCUGUGUUUAUCCCCAGGUUUUAAAGUUAUGCAUAAUAACUCAUUUAUUCAUCCUCUCCACCCACCAUUGAACACUUUUUUUGUUCAGUGGAAAAGGUAGAAUAGAUAGGCCUCUCCUCUGACUGAGGAAAUGUGUCUAGCCCAAUGGAUGACUUUUGGGAAUUGCUUGCUCUCAAGAGACUUUGCUUUCGGAUCCACAGGUCCUAUCCCCGACCUUGGGAGCAGAGUGAAUCCCAGAUGCUGAGUUGGGGGCUCUUGGUUUAGGCUGCAGUGGUUUCCUUGGGUCGCCGAGACUUCCUGCAGUAUUUCUAUUAGUGCAUCCAGGAGGCAAGUUCCCUCUUACCUGUGGCCUACAGCUUGAAGCUCUUUGUAUUUUGUAGGGCUAAUCUACCUCAAGACAGACAGAGAAACCCAAGCUUAAGUGAAACAUUCUUCUUGACCAAGAAUACCCAUCUUGGUUUUGGCUUAAACCCCUAUUAAGAUUUGCUACCAUUUUUCACCACCUUAAUCUCGUUCACCUGAAGAAAGUAGAACUCCUUGUUAAAAAUAAUUCUGAAAAAUUCUUUUUCAAAUAAACCACCAGCAGGCUCUCUGCCAAUAACUGUUUAUUUUUUAGAGAAUCAAUUGCACUCUCAACAAAAGACUCAUCGCUUUCAGUCAAUAUUCCCUUCAUGGCAUAUAGAUGAUGUUUAUUGUAGCGACUUCAGGGACCAGAGGCAGGUUCUUUCAUGCGGUUGCCUGUAGCCAAUACAAAUAGCGGGAGUUUGGAACAUCAGAUCCCUGAGCUCUGGGAGAUUUCACCUUUAUAGUGUUUAUUGGCAAGUAGGUGUGGGAUGAUUGGGAUUUCCUGCCUUCCUGCAACCCUAUGAUAAAGGUACAUACUGUAGGCAAUAUUUGCUGACUCAGCCUUGAGUUCACGGUCAAUACUGAGUUAGAAUCAGGUGAUUCUAGCAGGGUAUUGUUUAUGGUAUGUGCAGAGAAGUUAUAUUCUUAGGACAAGGGAAGUCCGGGAAAGUUUGGAUACUGGAUUUUGCAAUUGUAUAAGAAACAUGAACAUCUUCAAGGAUUUAAAAAACCAUCCUAUGAAUCCAUUUCAUUUGAAAAUUCAUUUAUUCAUUCAACAAAUAUUUAUUCAGACCCUGCUCUGUUCGAAACACUGUUUCUGGCAUUGAUAGAAAGAUAGGGAUGCUGCCUUUCUGAAGCCUACAGUGUAGUGUGGCAGUCAGAGAAAUAAUACACAAAUAAAGCAAUAUUAUCAUUGUAGGUAUUAUGAAGCAAAUGGGGACCUAAUCAAGGAUAGUGGCGGAGCGGACUGGAGGUCAGGCACCAUUCAGACUGGGUUUUUACCCAAGGCUGUUCUGAGGGAUGAUUUUUUUUCUAGAGCUCGCCUAGAAGGAAGGGAGAGAGGAAGAGCCAGGUGAGAAACAGAAAGUGCUCUCCAGGCAGCAUGUCCUGUGUCUUAGAAACCCUAAUGUACAAGCUCCAGGAAGAGGCUAGUGUGGCAGGGGUUGAAGAGAGGGUGUAAAAUGAGGUUGGGGUGGCAGUAGGCGUGGGUGCUACAGAAUAUACAGUAGCCCAAGGGAGACAGUUUGGGUAGUAGAGGAGAGAGGCAUGAUCCGUUGUGGUCUGUGCCACAUGUCAAUCCAUAAUAAAGGCCCUCCUUCAAGGUGAUGAGCUGCAGCUUGCUUACACUCACUCUCAAGGAGGUGACCCUGGUUACAUAUCAUGUGUGAUUGUUUUGAGUCCCCAGAAAAAUUGUUCUAUGACACAGCAUCAUAGUGAUGAGCAUGUACUUGGUGGUCCAACGUCUCGGGGUUGGAAUCCUGCCUCUAGAACUUAUUUAUUAGCUGCAUAACUUGGGCAAGUUAAUUCAUCCCUCUGAGCCCAGGUUUCCUCAUCUGUAAAACUGAGACCUUUAGAUUACCUAUUGUAAACGGACUCACCCGAUGCCUCUGGGGUUCCCUUCCAGGAGGCAUGAGGACAGUUGAGGCUGUGUGUAGCUGAAACAUUGGUGUAUGUGCUAAGGUCAUUCUCAGCUCCGUUCUUCUUGUUACCGCAUUCUUUUUCUGUUGCCCCAUCAAUCCCCUUCUAAACUCUUAUUAAAGAGAGACCCUCACUCGAGGUGGAGUGACCUGAGCCAUGUUCUGCUGGGCAUCUCAUUCCUCCUUAUUUCAUCUGCAUGUGGCUUUUCUUAUUUAAUGAGAUGGAGGUGGGGUGAGGGUGAGGGCUCAUGACUAAGGAACCAAGAGUAGGGCACAUGCAGUGUCUGCUCAUCCAGGACUGUAGAGUGAUUAGAUUCCAACUCUGUCCUUGAGACAAAAGCAUGUGAAGACUCUGCUGUCCAGUCCCCUCUCCCCAUCUUCUGUUUCUACAAGCUGCUGUGCUGAUCCUUAACACGAAGCCCUUAGUUUAGUGACCGAAUGCAUGGGAUUUGUAUUAAGCAAACGUGAUAUAUUUUCUCAUCCUUGAGGGAGACUGGGAAGGGGGUUUUCCCAAGAACAAAGGUCACAUCCUUAAUGUUCCCUGAAGGUGUGAUGAUAUGAGACCUAUUGUUCCUGUCUCCACACCCCAGUCUCACAUUCCUUGCCCCAUCCAGACUGGCCUACCUGGAGUUUCCCGGUGUCCUCUGUCAUUCCUUCCCCUGAGCCUUCGCACAGGCCAUUCUCUUAGUCUCUAAGACUCUUCUCCGCCAUCAUCUCCUAUUCUCACACUUGAGUUUGUUUUUGUUCAGAGGCCACCUUCUUUGGGAAGCCUUUCUUACCUUCCUCAACCUGAGUUGC